rnacentral:rRNA from 1 species
UACGGGAGGCAGCAGUGAGGAAUAUUGGUCAAUGGGCGCAAGCCUGAACCAGCCAUGCCGCGUGCAGGAUGACGGUCCUAUGGAUUGUAAACUGCUUUUGUACAGGAAGAAACACUCCCUCGUGAGGGAGCUUGACUGGUACUGUACAGAAUAAGGAUCGCGCUAACUCCGUGCCAGCAGCCGCGGUAAUA